rnacentral:misc_RNA from 1 species
GCUUCUCGCGCGUAUUUUCGUGCCGACGUCCUUGCCGACGCUGCCGCAGGUGCGAUACGCCGAGCGGACGGGCACGACCCACCACCGCUACUGCUUGUUGGCGUUUGUGGUACUGAACGGAAGGCAAAGGUUGACACUCGCGUUUUUCUCUCUGCACGUGCGCGUCUGCACAAGAGCGGUGCUUAUUUUUCGUUUCUUAGCCCCCGUCGCGCUCGCUUCGCCUGCACGAGAUCGUCGUCCGCCCAAGUGGGUUUUGACGAAGAUGAUGAUCAAAUCGGACACCCACCCAGAGCGCCUCAUGCACGGCGACGGCGAGUUGUAACCGAGCAGCCACUCCAGCGACUCCUUGUAGCGGCGGGCUAACACGCGCGCACGCAUUCGAACGCACAGAAGCGGCCCGAGGCCAACUACGGUGCACAUGAUAACUUCGAUGGCAGUGCACCAGAGGUGGGUAAGCCGUGACAUUGACAGGAGUGUCACGGGCGCUCGGGGCGCGUGUGCCGGCGGCUACUGGAGGCCGGUGGGACGAGUCCACUAUGCCGGUCAAAUGCAUCGAGCGCUGUGUUGCUCUUCCCGACUGCGCCAUGUUCAACCCGACGCGACCGCAGGCCGACUUCAACGAGCGAGUCGCGGAGUGAAGCAUCCGCGUCGUCCAGCGCCCGUUCGAGGCGCUGGAGCAGGAUACAACCGAGAUGGUACUGUACCCGGCAGAGGUGGGCGUGCCGAAUAUGACGAAGGUGGCGCGGGCGUAGACGGCGCCGCGGUGGCGACGGCUCACCACGAGCCAUCAUAGCGUCCCCUGCUUUGCGCGGGGCAUCGUCACCGGUUUUGAGGCGCUGCUCAGCACUAUUCGCACGUUCCGUGUCUGCGUGGAUGAAUAGCGCCACUCUCUGGUGAGCAGGAAGAAGGGCGCCCACGGCCUGAGUGGCGUCGCGGCGAGAGUCUGUCAGCAGCGGAGUGGUAGCGGCGGCGCCGGCGAGGAGACGCGUGUUGUAGGGGCGCGCACGAAAGCGGAAGUGUUCAACUGCGUUCCAGAUAUGUUCUGGCACGUUAUCGAGGCUGUCGCAAGGACGUACUACUCUGAGAAGCUGAUGAACCAUAUCGCUUUCUCGCGACAGCACGGCCGCGUGGUGAGGUGCGUCAUGAGCUGCUGUCUCGGCAGAAGAACUCCGAGAUAUCGCUGCCGCGGUACCACGUCUUCACGAUAGCCUUCAGCCCUCGGGGAGAGUGGGAAAAGGUUGUGGCGACAGUGCUGGCGCACUUGUGCUGCGGUUAACAGGGGUAUUGGAUGGCAAACGAAUACGACAACCUCCGCCACUGCGGCGCGAGUGUGGUGAGCGCGAUGGCGCGUGUGUGAUCGACGCGGCAGUCUGCUAGCUGCGCCGAGGCGACGGUGCAGGUGAGGUGUGUGUGCACCCGUUGAUGUGGGCGCAGCAACAG